GGCGAACGCUGGCGGCGUGCCUAAUACAUGCAAGUUGAGCGCUGAAGGUUGGUACUUGUACCGACUGGAUGAGCAGCGAACGGGUGAGUAACGCGUGGGGAAUCUGCCUUUGAGCGGGGGACAACAUUUGGAAACGAAUGCUAAUACCGAAUAAAAACUUUAAACACAAGUUUUAAGUUUGAAAGAUGCAAUUGCAUCACUCAAAGAUGAUCCCGCGUUGUAUUAGCUAGUUGGUGAGGUAAAGGCUCACCAAGGCGAUGAUACAUAGCCGACCUGAGAGGGUGAUCGGCCACAUUGGGACUGAGACACGGCCCAAACUCCUACGGGAGGCAGCAGUAGGGAAUCUUCGGCAAUGGACGAAAGUCUGACCGAGCAACGCCGCGUGAGUGAAGAAGGUUUUCGGAUCGUAAAAAUCUGUUGGUAGAGAAGAACGUUGGUGAGAGUGGAAAGCUCAUCAAGUGACGGUAACUACCCAGAAAGGGACGGCUAACUACGUG
rnacentral:rRNA from 1 species